rnacentral:rRNA from 1 species
AGGACGAACGCUGGCGGCGUGCUUAACACAUGCAAGUCGAGCGGAAAGGCCCUUCGGGGUACUCGAGCGGCGAACGGGUGAGUAACACGUGAGCAACCUGCCCUUAGCUCUGGGAUAGCUCCGGGAAACCGGAAUUAAUACCGGAUAUGACCUAGGCCGACAUCGGCCGUGGUGGAAAGUUUUUCGGCUAGGGAUGGACUCGCGGCCUAUCAGCUAGUUGGUGGGGUAAUGGCCUACCAAGGCGACGACGGGUAGCCGGCCUGAGAGGGCGACCGGCCACACUGGGACUGAGACACGGCCCAGACUCCUACGGGAGGCAGCAGUGGGAAUCUUGCGCAAUGGGCGAAAGCCUGACGCAGCGACGCCGCGUGGGGGAUGAAGGCCUUCGGGUUGUAAACCCUUUCAGCAGGGACGAAGCGAAAGUGACGGUACCUGCAGAAGAAGCGCCGGCUAACUACGCGCCAGCAGCCGC